rnacentral:rRNA from 1 species
UACGUAGGGCGCAAGCGUUGUCCGGAAUUAUUGGGCGUAAAGAGCUCGUAGGCGGCUUGUCACGUCGGGUGUGAAAUCCUGGGGCUUAACCCCGGGUCUGCAUUCGAUACGGGCUAGCUAGAGUGUGGUAGGGGAGAUCGGAAUUCCUGGUGUAGCGGUGAAAUGCGCAGAUAUCAGGAGGAACACCGGUGGCGAAGGCGGAUCUCUGGGCCAUUACUGACGCUGAGGAGCGAAAGCGUGGGGAGCGAACGGG